rnacentral:lncRNA from 1 species
UUCUACAUAGGCUAACUUCGGUUUACAGAAACCGAAUCAGGAAGCGAGUGGGUUUUAGAAAUCGAAUUUCUAAUUCCUUCGAUUUGUAAAACCCGAAUUUGCUGACAAAUUUUUUUCACAUUUUGGAAGAGCAAAAUGGGAUUUAAGGGGGUGUAAAAGAAUCGUGGGGGGGCCUAAAGAAAAAUUAUCUUAAUUAUUU